AUGUUGUACCUCGCACAUCUGCAUCUGCUCAAACUCCUCUGGCAGUUCGCCUCCUUCUCCACUCCUGUGCGCGUCCCCAGCAUUAUCUCCGUCAUGGUGGUUUGUUCUGCUCGGGCCGUCCCACUGCUCGCUGCUCUGCAACUCGCCCGACUGCUUAGCCCGAUGUUGCUUUGCGUCGUCCAGAGUCGCCCCGCGCCGUUGCGCCCCGACGCCGGCCUGGCGUACCGCGCCGCCCAGCGCUUGCCCGGCCGUCCGCGUCGCCUCGUCCAGCUCUGCGCCCGCGUGCGCCGCCCGGGUUCCCUGCAGCUCCGCCGGCCCCCCAGCGCGUUCGUUGGCUCUCGCGCUGACCGGUUUUCCGCGGGCUCGUCGUCGCGCCAUGUCCUCUGCGCUCGCCGGCACCAGCACGCGCAGGGUCCCCCGCCUCCGCCCCAGCACGCCUGCUGCUGGGUCGCCACGCCAUGCGCCUGGUCCGGCUCCUCCGCCUGCAGUGCCGGGUCCGACCUCACUCGCCUCCGCGUAGCCGGCUGUUGCCGCGGCCGGCCCCCGCCGGCUCCGCCGGCUCCGCCUUCCCAGCCUCCGGCUCGCUACGCCGAGCCGCCUCCACCCCAGCACGCCUGCUGCUGGGUCGCCACGCCAUGCGCCUGGUCCCGGCUCCUCCGCCUACAGUGCCGGGUCCGACCUCCCUCGCCUCCGCGUAGCCGGCUGUUGCCGCGGCCGGCCCCCGCCGGCUCCGCCGGCUCCGCCUUCCCAGCCUCCGGCUCGCUACGCCGAGCCGCCUCCGCCCCCUGGUCGCCUGCAAGCUCCGCCUGCUCCGGCCAGCCUCCGCCUGGAGGCUCCCCGCGCUGCCCCUCCCGCUCCGAGUCCGGCUCCUGCCACUCGCCCCUGCGCCCACGCACUCGGCUCCCGGGCGGCAGCACCAGCCGGCUGCCCAGCGGCCCCGCACGUCGCCUCGACCCGCGGUCCCGCGCCCGGCAGCGCCGUCCUCCGCGUCGCCUCUGCUCCGCCUACGCCGGCCGCCCUCCCCCCGCAGUCGGCCCGGCUCCGGCCGCCUGCGACCCGGUCCGGCUGGCCCCUGAACGAGGCCGCACCCGCGCUCCUCUAGAUGCGCCGCGGCCCUCGUCGCUGCACCAUCCCGGCUCCCGCCCGCUCUGGCCGGCUCCGGCGUCCGCCAUCGCCCCUGGCCGACUCCCCGCCUGGUCGACUCCGCUUGCGGACGCCUGCCGCCCGCUCCGGCUCGGCGCCCCGCCGAGUGGCGCCCCAGCCGGCUGCUCCGUGCAGAAAGAAAGGGACGGGCUGCCCCACGCGAGGGAUAGAAAGAGAAAAAGAAAAAGAAAAAGAAAGAGAGAGAGAAAGGAUCCGGCUGGAGGAAAAAGCAAAGGGCCGACUUCCCGCUAG
rnacentral:rRNA from 1 species